GGAGCUUUUGUGUACUCUUGUUUGUGUUGUAUUUUUGUCCUGAAAAUUGGCCGCAAAACAGGACUCUUUGCGCUGUCGAUGGCUUCGGUGCUCGGCGACCACUUCGACACCUUCUUGCGAAAGCAUCCGAAUGGAAAAAAGCUGCAACAAAGGUAAAUGUAUCAUUUAAAGAUCAAUUAUAACGUUACCUUUUACAAUAAAAACUUAAUUUUUUCAGCAAUUCGUAACGUCGGAUGAAUCGAAGACGAUCUACCCGACUCGUCCUCGUUCGGAAGAUUUUCUCAAGAAAUUUCUGCCGAUACGUCGAUCUACGAUAACGUCGAUACCGCGAUUCUACCACCGAUAUACCAACGUACCGAUGACGACGAAUACCGAUACAACGUAUACGUUGGUAUUCCUUAGGCUACCAGCGUCUGCUCGCAAAUUUACAUCUUUGCCAACGUAAAUAAAUAAAACGGAUCGAUGCCUGUUCUACGCUCUCACCGCUGAAAUGUAAUCGAAUCUGUGUAAAAUAAUGGUUGCCGCAGCUCGUGCCUAGAGAUUCGCCUGAAAAGUUCGCAGGAGAAUCGAGAAACGGAAGGAUGCAAUACGCACUCUCCCUGUUAUCGACCAUAUCAAGAGUAUAGCGAGAAUCAAGGGAGAACGAACGAUGGCGAGCAACACCGAGUCCAGCCGAGGGGUGAGUCGCGCUCCGUGUUUUACUUUCCCUGGACGAAUAAUACUGCAACCCCUUCGCACGACCUCGGCACACCGCAAACUAGUAUCUUUAAUAAUAUCGGAUAUAAGAGUAAAUUAACGUUCGUUAAAAUUACAUAGGUAAUCGAGUGUGGAGAAAAAUUUGAGAUAUAACGAUAGAUGCGAAUUAUAAUCGUAUUGGAAGAUUAUUCGUCUCGAGAACCACGCUAUUGGAAACGUGAUAGAGCAUUUCUUCUUUAGUGUUACAUGGACAGUAAGAAUCGUUCUAACGUGGAUAUAGUAAAGUGAUACGUUCAAGGAAUCAGGUCCCAUUGGAAGAGCGAUCGAGGAUCUCUAAUCGCGUUGGUUAAAAGUGGAAGAUAAAAAUUGUCGUAACGACAAGAAGGAGAUGAUUUAAAGAACUCGAGUAGACCGCAGACUGUUCCUUUAAAGACUAAUCGGUACAAUUUGAACCAAUUUUCAUGGAAAUUGGAUUUCUUGUCCAGUGUUAGUGAAAAAAAUAA